CAGUCGCCGCGGUAAUACGAAGGGUGCAAGCGUUAAUCGGAAUUACUGGGCGUAAAGCGUGCGUAGGUGGUGGUUUAAGUCCGUUGUGAAAGCCCUGGGCUCAACCUGGGAAUUGCAGUGGAUACUGGGUCACUAGAGUGUGGUAGAGGAUAGUGGAAUUUCCGGUGUAGCAGUGAAAUGCGUAGAGAUCGGAAGGAACAUCUGUGGCGAAGGCGACUAUCUGGGCCAACACUGACACUGAGGCACGAGAGCGUGGGGAGCAAACAGGAUUAGAUACCCGUGUAGUCCCUGUCUCUUAUAU
rnacentral:rRNA from 1 species